UACGGGGGGUGCAAGCGUUGUCCGGAAUCAUUGGGCGUAAAGCGUUCGUAGGUGGCAUGUCAAGUCUGAUGUCAAAUCCCGGGGCUCAACUCCGGUCAGGCAUUGGAAACGGGCAAGCUUGAAUGCGGCAGAGGUUAAGGGAAUUCCCGGUGUAGCGGUGAAAUGCGUAGAUAUCGGGAAGAACACCGGUGGCGUAAGCGCUUAACCGGGUCGUAAUUGACACUGAGGAACGAAAGCCGGGGGAGCAAAC
rnacentral:rRNA from 1 species